rnacentral:rRNA from 1 species
UAGGGAAUCUUCGGCAAUGGACGGAAGUCUGACCGAGCAACGCCGCGUGAGUGAAGAAGGUUUUCGGAUCGUAAAGCUCUGUUGUUAGAGAAGAACGUUGGUAGGAGUGGAAAAUCUACCAAGUGACGGUAACUAACCAGAAAGGGACGGCUAACUACGUGCCAGCAGCCGCGGUAAUACGUAGGUCCCGAGCGUUGUCCGGAUUUAUUGGGCGUAAAGCGAGCGGAGGCGGUUCUUUAAGUCUGAAGUUAAAGGCAGUGGCUUAACCAUUGUACGCUUUGGAAACUGGAGGACUUGAGUGCAGAAGGGGAGAGUGGAAUUCCAUGUGUAGCGGUGAAAUGCGUAGAUAUAUGGAGGAACACCGGUGGCGAAAGCGGCUCUCUGGUCUGUAACUGACGCUGAGGCUCGAAAGCGUGGGGAGCAAACAGG